ensembl:lncRNA
UGUGUAAGUACUGAAUUGCUUCUACUGGUGCAGCUGGUCUGUAUUUAGCUAAAUUGGUGUUUUUAUCUGUAGGUAAAAGCCAAAGAAAGCUUUUCAGGGAUGGUUCUCACAAAAUGCUGAGGAACAGAGUCACUGAUGUUAUGGUGAUGGUCUCUUGGUAAACGUGUUGCUUAUCUUGCACAAGGUUAUGGAGAAGUGACACUUCAGAGGAGCAAUGUGCAGUAAUAUGGCAUCUGCUUGGCUUCCUUUUGGUGGAUUAUACUUGAAGAGUUUGAUCUAAUUACAGUUUAGAUGCCUGCCAUCUGAAGGAUUGAUACUCCCACACUCCUCUGGGGUUGAGUUUGCAGCUAGGAAUUGUAGUGUUUGGUACUAACAGCAGACACAGCCCUGGUUACUUGCAGAUGAUAUUCUGUGUGGGCUAGUGGUGCUCUCAGUGGUGGUGCUCUUUAUAGGAACACCAUACUUCAGCCAAGUGUUACAAGCUGACUCUGGAGAGUCAGCAUCACCAUCUGAGCAGAUUCAUAAGCUAGUAAAACCUACACCACUGCCCAGUCUACCUUUUUGCUAUGAAGCUGCAAAAACUCAGAUGAAAAACUACUUUUCUGAGAAUGCUACCCACGCUGCUAAUUUUUAAAUUGAGCAUAGAGUCACCAAGCCUUUUCCAGAACUCUUUAGGUAACUUCUCUUUCGAAGGAGUGAUUUUUAUAUUUGCUACAGCAAACUUAUCUACACCUGUACCCAGCUUGAGUGAUCAUUCUAUUAAAUGUCAAAGAGAGUAUCAGUCUGAGCCCAUGCUGUAGAACAGCUUCAGUGCCAGUUUCUCCAAGUGGCAGCUAGUGUGUGGCAGGGUAGUCAAACAAUAUCCUUUGUAUCAACAUUUCUUUGAGGGGCAGUGAGUGUUAUUUCUACAUGCUUAACUCAUCUUGCUGUAAAUUCUUGGCCUUGUUUCAAUAUGCCCCUUGAACCUGCUGCAGUAGUCUUAAUGCCUCAGUGUCAAUUUAUUGCAAAGUAAUUUUAUUUCCUCUUGCUACAUUCAUUAUUAUAGUAGUGUGAGGCAUUCUGGGAAGAAGUAGACCUACUCCCUCCAGAGCAGAGCACUGUUCUAUUUCAUACUUCUACCUGAAGUGUUUAUCCAGUAUCACAGUAAAAGGAAAUACCCCUUGCUUUACCAGGAUCCCUCAGUUGCUUUCAUGGCAAAUUCCAUCCUUGCCCGAUUCAAUUUGAAGAGCACCCCUGCAGCUGGGCAGUGUUCUGUUGUAGAUGCACAUGCCUUGUACUCGCCUGUAGUUACUGUGAUGAGCAGAAGCAAGCCUCCAGCUUGAAGAAUGCACCUGGGGCCCUCUCUGUAGCCAGUUUGCAGUUGCAGCUGUGAUCUGGGAUGUCUUUAUUUCUGAGCAUAUUCCCCUCCAAGGAUGUUCUUCAGUGUUUUCCUGUUUGCCUUCCCCAUUCUUGUGGCUGUAGCCUGUUCCUGAUGCAUGCAUUGAGAAACUGACUGUGAUGAGUCUGUGCACCUUGGUAAGGAGUCAGAGAACUGGAGCUCUCUGCCAUGUCAGUAUGAACUCAUGGCAAUGUGCCAUGAGCUUCCUAUUUUUAUAGGCAUGCUUAGAAAUUCCUGCUUUAAGGAUUACUUGCUGUGAAUAUGCUGACUCUUACAUGAUUAUCAGCCCAAAGUGAAAUCUAGUACAACUUAAGGGCUGUCAUCCCCACUAACUACAGCCAAAGCAGCACUUGGUUCUGCAUGGUAAGAUGUAGAAAAGGCUUAGCUGAUGUGAACUGUGCUUCACCGGUAGCUGAUGAAGGCUCCACAUGGUGAGUAGCAGGAAGGAGGCCCCUGCUUUCAUCAGCUACUGCAAGGCUCUGUGGCUUGGAUUCCAAUGCAGUGGGCAGCCAUAUUAAACAAGCAUUCCUUAAUCCUGUAGCAUUCUUCAUAGCUCUUUGUGUCAUCCCUCUUGCAUAAAUGUUUGAUGCAUUUACUGCUUGAUGCCCAAGUACAAUUCUGUACUUUCUAGCUGCUUUUCAGCUUUACUGCCAUGUCAUGUCCAUGAGAGCACACACUAACUGUGGGCAUUGGCUCCUAGACUCAGCAGGAAGGAAAGCUACUCCUGACCUUUUGUAAUUAUGCAAAGUGGAAGGGAACAGCCUUCAUUGUGCCAGUUCUUCAAAGCUAUCCUGAACUUGCUCUGUACAGAUUUUUCAUAAAGAGAUUCAUUUGCACAUGUUAGCUCAGUGCUGUAUUUGCUGCAUCUUACAGGAGCUGUCUGAUGUUUUGCUUGUUUCAGAACAGUUUUACUAUAGCUUUGGAUUUGGUACGGACCUGGCACCAGGUGAUGCAGGGUAACAGCUCAUGCAGUAGUUGAGUAAUUUUUGAAAAGCUUAAUGAAAUUAAAGCAAUAUCAAAAGACAGUCAUCUAACAUGAUUCUGCUCAAUAGGGCAGUCUCCACUAGCCAUUAUCAAUGGAGGAAGAUGUGUAACAUAAGAAUUACAUAUAUGAAUUCAGGUUUGAGUUUCAUGAGAAAUCCAUUAACAGCUUCAGAAGAUGCCUAGAAAAAUGCUGCUCCAAUGACAGGACAUAAAAGAAAAAAAAAUUACUUCAGGGCACCCAGCCCUCUGUCAGUGUUUAAUCUGUUCAGCUAAAGUAUUUAAACUCUAGCUUGUAAAAAUACACAAAAUGAGAGAUACAAUGUCUUUUAUUUUUACAAAAAAACUGGUAAAAGAUGAUGUAAAUAAA